rnacentral:rRNA from 1 species
CUGUUGCCAGCGGUUCGGCCGGGAACUCAGAGGAGACUGCCGGUUAUAAACCGGAGGAAGGUGGGGACGACGUCAAGUCAUCAUGGCCCUUACGACCAGGGCUACACACGUGCUACAAUGGCUUAUACAAAGAGAAGCAAAUCUGCAAAGACAAGCAAACCUCAUAAAGUAAGUCUUAGUCCGGACUGGAGUCUGCAACUCGACUCCAUGAAGUCGGAAUCGCUAGUAAUCGUGGAUCAGAAUGCCACGGUGAAUACGUUCCCGGGCCUUGUACACACCGCCCGUCACACCAUGGGAGUGGGUUGCAAAAGAAGCAGGUAUCCUAACCUUGAAAAAGGAAGGCGCCUACCACUUUGUGAUUCAUGACUGGGGUGAAGUCGUAACAAGGUAACCGUAGGGGAA